rnacentral:tRNA from 1 species
AAAAAGAUAAGCUAAAUAAAGCUUAUGGGUUCAUACCCCAUAAAUAAAGGUUCUAAUCCUUUUCUUUUUA